AUUGAAUGCUGGCGGCAGGCCUAACACAUGCAAGUCGAGCGGAUGACGGGAGCUUGCUCCUUGAUUCAGCGGCGGACGGGUGAGUAAUGCCUAGGAAUCUGCCUGGUAGUGGGGGACAACGUGUCGAAAGGAACGCUAAUACCGCAUACGUACUACGGGAGAAAGCAGGGGACCUUCGGGCCUUGCGCCAUCAGAUGAGCCUAGGUCGGAUGUGCUAGUAGGUGAGGUAAUGGCUCACCUGGGCGACGAUCCGUAACUGGUCUGAGAGGAUGAUCAGUCACACUGGAACUGAGGCACGGUCCAGACUCCUACGGGAGGCAGCAGUGGGGAAUAUUGGACAAUGGGCGAAAGCCUGAUCCAGCCAUGCCGCGUGUGUGAAGAAGGUCUUCGGAUUGUAAAGCACUUUAAGUUGGGAGGAAGGGCAGUAAGCGAAUACCUUGCUGUUUUGACGUUACCGACAGAAUAAGCACCGGCUAACUCUGUGCCAGCAGCCGCGGUAACAC
rnacentral:rRNA from 1 species